rnacentral:rRNA from 1 species
CCGGCGAGUGAAGCGGCAAUAGCUCAAAUUUGAAAUCUGGCUCUCUUUGGGGGUCCGAGUUGUAAUUUGCAGAGGGUGCUUUGGCGUUGACGGCGGUCUAAGUUCCUUGGAACAGGACAUCGCAGAGGGUGAGAAUCCCGUUUGUGGUCGCCAGUCUUCACCGUGUAAAGCCCCUUCGACGAGUCGAGUUGUUUGGGAAUGCAGCUCUAAAUGGGAGGUAAAUUUCUUCUAAAGCUAAAUACCGGCCAGAGACCGAUAGCGCACAAGUAGAGUGAUCGAAAGAUGAAAAGCACUUUGGAAAGAGAGUCAAAUAGCACGUGAAAUUGUUGAAAGGGAAGCGCUUGCAGCCAGACUUGCCUGUAGUUGCUCAUCCGGGCUCUUGCCCGGAGCACUCUUCUGCAGGCAGGCCAGCAUCAGUUUGGGCGGCUGGAUAAAGACCUCUGUCAUGUAUCUUCCUUCGGGAUGACCUUAUAGGGGAGGUGUAAUGCAGUCAGCCUGGACUGAGGUCCGCGCAUUUGCUAGGAUGCUGGCGUAAUGGCUGUAAGCGGCCCGUCUUGAAACACGGACCAAGGAGUCUAACAUCUAUGCGAGUGUUUGGGUGUCAAGCCCGGGCGCGCAAUGAAAGUGAACGGAGGUGGGAACCCUCUCGGGGGUGCACCAUCGACCGAUCCUGAUGUCUUCGGAUGGAUUUGAGUAAGAGCAUAGCUGUUGGGACCCGAAAGAUGGUGAACUAUGCUUGAAUAGGGUGAAGCCAGAGGAAACUCUGGUGGAGGCUCGCAGCGGUUCUGACGUGCAAAUCGAUCGUCAAA